rnacentral:rRNA from 1 species
AUUGAACGCUGGCGGCAUGCUUUACACAUGCAAGUCGAACGGUAACAGGGAGCUUGCUCCGCUGACGAGUGGCGAACGGGUGAGUAAUAUAUCGGAACGUGCCCAAGAGUGGGGGAUAACGUAGCGAAAGUUACGCUAAUACCGCAUACGAUCCAAGGAUGAAAGCAGGGGACCUUCGGGCCUUGUGCUCCUGGAGCGGCCGAUAUCUGAUUAGCUAGUUGAUGAGGUAAAGGCUCACCAAGGCGACGAUCAGUAGCUGGUCUGAGAGGACGACCAGCCACACUGGAACAGAGACACGGUCCAGAUUCCUACGGGAGGCAGCAGUGGGGAAUUUUGGACAAUGGGGGCAACCCUGAUCCAGCAAUGCCGCGUGAGUGAAGAAGGCCUUCGGGUUGUAAAGCUCUUUUGUCAGGGAAGAAAAGGGUACGGCUAAUAUCCGUGCCUCAUGACGGUACCUGAAGAAUAAGCACCGGCUAACUACGUGCCAGCAGCCGCGGUAA